rnacentral:rRNA from 1 species
AUUGAACGCUGGCGGCAGGCUUAACACAUGCAAGUCGAGCGGGGUGAUGGUGCUUGCACUAUCACUUAGCGGCGGACGGGUGAGUAAUGCUUAGGAAUCUGCCUAUUAGUGGGGGACAACAUCUCGAAAGGGAUGCUAAUACCGCAUACGUCCUACGGGAGAAAGCAGGGGAUCACUUGUGACCUUGCGCUAAUAGAUGAGCCUAAGUCGGAUUAGCUAGUUGGUGGGGUAAAGGCCUACCAAGGCGACGAUCUGUAGCGGGUCUGGGAGGAUGAUCCGCCACACUGGGACUGAGACACGGCCCAGACUCCUACGGGAGGCAGCAGUGGGGAAUAUUGGACCAUGGGGGGAACCCUGAUCCAGCCAUGCCGCGUGUGUGAAGAAGGCCUUAUGGUUGUAAAGCACUUUAAGCGAGGAGGAGGCUCUUUUGGUUAAUACCCAGAAUGAGUGGACGUUACUCGCAGAAUAAGCACCGGCUAACUCUGUGCCAGCAGCCGCCGUAAGAC